rnacentral:rRNA from 1 species
GAACGGCAGCACGGGGGCAACCCUGGUGGCGAGUGGCGAACGGGUGAGUAAUAUAUCGGAACGUGCCCUAGAGUGGGGGAUAACGUAGCGAAAGUUACGCUAAUACCGCAUACGAUCUAAGGAUGAAAGCGGGGGAUCGCAAGACCUCGCGCUCGUGGAGCGGCCGAUAUCUGAUUAGCUAGUUGGUAGGGUAAAAGCCUACCAAGGCGACGAUCAGUAGCUGGUCUGAGAGGACGACCAGCCACACUGGGACUGAGACACGGCCCAGACUCCUACGGGAGGCAGCAGUGGGGAAUUUUGGACAAUGGGGGCAACCCUGAUCCAGCAAUGCCGCGUGAGUGAAGAAGGCCUUCGGGUUGUAAAGCUCUUUUGUCAGGGAAGAAACGGUCUGGGCUAAUAUCCCGGGCUAAUGACGGUACCUGAAGAAUAAGCACCGGCUAACUACGUG